UUUAACAGCGCAUCUGUUUGCGGAGCCGCUGGCCAGUGCGAUGGCUGCAGGGGAUGUGGCUCGAGACAGUGCAAGAUCAGAAGAAAAGUUCGGCAACUCUAAUCCAAGCAGCCAGCUUCUGCAGCCAGAUUCGGGUGAAGCGCCACUCGAAGAUGCGUUCUCGGUGCUGCUGUGCCAGUGCUUGAGCGCCAAAGUCUCGACUGAAGAUGACUGUGUCCUGGGUGGAUACUUCGCGGUGG
rnacentral:lncRNA from 1 species